CAACAAGACACUGUCUUACAGGUAUACAUUGUCUUUAAAUCGUAAGUAUGUCUUAUCAAUAAAAAAUGGUUAAGAGGAACAAAAGACAAUCAUUCAUUCACAAUCAUUCAUCAACUAGCUCAGGAAUUUUUUAUGUCAGUUAUUUGUAGUCAUAUUUACUAAAGAUGACUCUGAAUAAAUAUCUGAAACCUGUUAUGAAAAGCAUGUUUUUUUUCUAUAUACAUGUAGACAGUGUAUAUUUAUUAUUUGUUUUAGACCACAUGUUAAUUUAGUUUUUAGUAGCUUUUAUUUCUUGAUUUGAUAGCAGCUUUAACUUUUAUGUUGUUUUGAGUUGGUAGCUCAAUUUAUAUCCAAAUAAAAUUGUCGCAAAUAUUACACAAUUUUCGGUAAAAUAAAGAACACUUUUUUUUCCAUUUUUCAAAAUUGUUUGCAAAUCUUAUGCAUGAUUGCAUAUUAUGCUACAGUACAAAUACAAGUUUAUGGACUGGGCAGUCUGCCAAAAGGAACUUAGGUACAUAUUGCAUUUCCAUGCAUAUAGACCAAUGUCAUGUAAUAUUUAUUAUACGAAAUAAAGAUCAGAUUUAUUAUAUUCAUUAAGUCUGAAAAUGAUACCAAGAUGGUGUUAUGAAAAAAAAAAUUGCAUGCGUAAAACACACUCUUGAUCACAUUGUACAGUUUUAUAGACCAGAUGGUACUAUGAAUGAAGAGGGAACUUUGGUGAGGUAUGAUAUUGUGGUAUUAUUAAAUCUAUUUUUCAAUGUAGUCAUUAUCAUUGGUGUAAAUGCAGUCAUAUGAUUAAUGAUAAAAAGUCAUAUUGAAUUGAGGAAAAACGCACUGACCUAUAGCAGUGAUGUUAUAAUGUUGUGACAUCAUAAAAUGUGACAUUUUAUACAAUUUAAGACCAUAACAAGAAAAAUACCUAAACACCUAUGUGUGUUGCAAACCUGACCAUUUAGGUACCAUAUGUUACAUACCAAUAAAUGUGUUUGCAAACUUGACCUAAAUUGUAUUCUUUACGUAAGCUGCUAUCCAUCAAACAGUGUUUAAACAGACUUCCUAAUUGUAAAUAUAGUUGUAGUAUUUUAUAUAUACACGUUAAUGUAGUUUUUUCUUUUGUAUUUAGCGAUUAUUUUACAUUUGAUAUUAAAGGGAUAGAGCUUUUUGUGCCCCAAAACAUUUUGAGCGGGUGUGGGCGCUUAGAUUUGCCCUUGUCCGUAUGUCAAUCAGUCCAAUUAAGUGUUGUGCAUAUCUCAAAAAGUACUUCACCAAGAGUCAUCAAAGAGUCACAGGAUUGUUAUUCAGCAUGUAGCGUUGUGCAUCUGAAGUUUUAUUUGGGAUUUCACAGAACCAGACCAGAGUUAUGCCCUUAAUUUAGUCAACAAUAAGCAUACAGUGACAGAAAGUAGGGGCACUAGUGACCUAUGGACACGCAUCUAGUUACUAUUUUGUUUGUCAGACAUAAGAUCUUCAUUCAACUUGCACAUACACACAUAUGCAGUGUGUUAUGAUCUUCAUUCAACUUGCACAUCCACACAUAUGCAGUGGAUUAUGAUCUUCAUUCAACUUGCACAUCCACACAUAUGCAGUGUGUUAUAAUCUUCAUUCAACUUGCACAUCCACACAUAUGCAGUGUGUUAUGAUCUUCAUUCAACUUGCACAUCCACACAUAUGCAGUGUGUUAUGGUCUUCAUUCAACUUGCACAUCCACACAUUUGCAGUGUGUUAUGAUCUUCAUUCAACCUGCACAUCCAAACAUAUGCAGUCUUUAUUCAACUUGCACAUCCACACAUAUGCAGUGUUUUAUGAUCUUCAUUCACAAUGCAGUACAUUAUGAUGUUAAUAAAACCUGCUCAUCAACAAACACAUGAUUUUCAUAAAUUUUAAACUUGCUCAAUAACAAGGACAUAAAGUAUGCCUUGGUGUUCACAGUCUUAUUUACUGUCAUUAGAUGACUUGUUUAACAUAAAAUCAGUAAAUUACUAGUAAUUAGUAUGCCUUUGUUGCGUAGAUAUUGAGGUUGAAUAAUAACUGAUAUGAAAGGAAAUGAAGCAAGGACUGACAUUUUGCAAUGAAGUAAGUAGGACUGACAUUUUGCAUUGAGCAAGUAGGACUGACAUUUUGCAAUGAAGCAAGCAGGACUGACAUUUUGCAGUGAAGCAAGAAGGACUGACAUUUUGCAAUGAAGCAAGCAGGACUGACAUUUUGCAAUGAAGCAAGCAGGACUGACAUUUUGCAUUGAGCAAGUAGGACUGACAUUUUGCAUUGAGCAAGUAGGACUGACAUUUUGCAAUGAAGCAAGCAGGACUGACAUUUUGCAGUGAAGCAAGAAGGACUGACAUUUUGCAAUGAAGCAAGCAGGACUGACAUUUUGCAAUGAAGCAAGCAGGACUGACAUUUUGCAAUGAAGCAAGAAGGACUGACAUUUUGCAAUGAAGCAAGCAGGACUGACAUUUUGCAGGAGCUAAAAUGCCAAGGAAUUUGUAACAGAUAAGGGGUCACUGGGAUAAUAUAUGAUGAUACAACACAUUUUUAGCUCACCUGUCACAAAGUGACAAGGUGAGCUUUUGUGAUCGCGCAGCGUCCGUCGUCCGUGCGUGCGUCCGUCCGUGCGUGCGUGCAUAAACUUUUGCUUGUGACCACUCUAGAGGUCACGUUUUUCAUGGGAUCUUUAUGAAAAUUGGUCAGAAUGUUCCCCUUGAUGAUAUCUAGGUCAAGUUCGAAACUGGGUCACGUGCAGUCAAAAACUAGGUCAUUAGGUCUAAAAAUAGAAAAACCUUGUGACCUCUCUAGAGGCCAUAUAUUUCACAAGAUCUUCACGAAAAUUGGUCAGAAUGUUCACCUUGAUGAUAUCUAGGUCAAGUUCGAAACUGGGUCACGUGGGGUCAAAAACUAGGUCAUUAGGUUUAAAAAUAGAAAAACCUUGUGACCUCUCUAGAGGCCAUAUUUCUCAAUGGAUCUUCAUGAAAAUUAAUCAGAAUGUUCACCUUGAUGAUAUCUAGGUCAAGUUCGAAACUGGGUCACGUGGGGUUAAAAACUAGGUCAGUAGAUCUAAAAAUAGAAAAACCUUGUGACCUCUCUAGAGGCCAUAUUUUUCAUGAGAUCUUCAUGAAUAUUGGUCAGAAUGUUCACCUUGAUGAUAUCUAGGUCAAGUUCGAAACUGGGUCAUGUGGGGUCAAAAACUAGGUCAGUAGGUCUAAAAAUAGAAAAACAUUGUGACCUCUCUAGAGGCCAUAUUUCUCAAUGGAUCUUCAUGAAAAUUGGUCAGAAUGUUCACCUUGAUGAUAUCUAGGUCAAGUUCGAAACUGGGUCACGUGGGGUUAAAAACUAGGUCAGUAGAUCUAAAAAUGGAAAAACCUUGUGACCUCUCUAGAGGCCAUAUUUUUCAUGAGAUCUUCAUGAAUAUUGGUCAGAAUGUUCACCUUGAUGAUAUCUAGGUCAAGUUCGAAACUGGGUCACGUGGGGUCAAAAACAAGGCCAGUAGGUCUAAAAAUAGAAAAACCUUGUGACCUCUCUAGAGGCCAUAUUUCUCAAUGGAUCUUCAUGAAAAUUGGUGAGAAUGUUCAGCUUGAUGAUAUCUAGGUCAGGUUCGAAAUUGGGUCAUGUGUGGUCAAAAACUAGAUCAGUAGGUCGAAAAAUAGAAAAACCUUGUGACCUCUCUAGAGGCCAUAUUUUUCACGGGAUCUUCAUGAAAAUUGGUGAGAAUGUUCACCUUGAUGAUAUCUAGGUCAAGUUUAUAAGUGGGUCACGUGCCUUCAAAAACUAGGUCAUUAGGUCAAAUAAUAGAAAAACCUUGUGACCUCUCUAGAGGCCAUAUUUUUCAAUGAAUCUUCAUGAAAAUUGGUCACAUGUGCUCAAAAACUAGGUCACUAUGUCAAAUAAUAGAAAUAACGACGUCAUACUCAGUUCAACACUGGGUCAUAUGGGGAUAGGUGAGCGAUUCAGGACCAUCAUGGUCCUCUUGUUUAUCACAGUCAUUGUCCAGUUUUAAGUCAUCAAAUUUUUUUACUUUUAAAACUUCUGUUUUUACAGUGAUCCACACGGCACACUUUAUUUUUAGUAAACUGUAAAGUACAUGUCCUUAACACUUAUCAUGCUGGUCACGGUUGAUUCUGCCUUUGUGACCGUCAAGAUCUGCACUGUUCACUAUUCAGUCAGUAUUGUUUUUGCUAAAUACCCUUUUUAAUAGUUAAUGGUACUGUCCAAAUCAAAAGAUGGACAAGUUCAUUAUAGAAAUUUAGCAGAGUAAGAGUUAAAUAGAGAAAAGUACCGCACAAUGACGGGCAUUAGUUCAUACAGUAUGGGAAGUUAACCUUUAGCCUGCUGGUGGCAAGUGAAUUUGCCUUUGCGACAAGUGCAGACCAAGAUCAGCCUACACAUCCAUGCAGGCUGAUCAUGGUCUGCACUGUUCGUUAUUCAGUCAGUAAAUCUUAAGUGAACACCCCUUUGAAUAAGAAAUGGUACUGCCCAAAUUAAAAGAUGGUCCAGUCCAUUUUAAAAAUCCAGUAGAGUAAGGGUUAUAAUAGGAAGCUGUAAAUUGUAGGGAUGGGAACAAAUACUGAAAUCAAUAUUCGAAUAUUCGGUUUGCCAUAUUCGAAUAUAUUCGAAUAUUCGGUUUGUUUUAAUGGAAGCUUUACAUACUUAUUAAGUGAUUGGCAUAUACACAACGUAUUCAUUUGUUUAAAGCGUAGAUCAUCGUACGUAAUAAGGCUAAAAAAUGUUUGUUUCUAUUUUCUUUUUAAUUGGACAUCUUUUGACACGCGAUAAACAAACAUGACAUGGUUUUAUUCUGUAGAAUUAGCAUGCUCAUAUUGCCCAAAAUCAAUGAUACUUAUUUUGAAAAAAAAAAUAUACAAUAAUUUACGAAUAUUCGAAUUUCAUUUUCAUAUUCGAAUAUUCGACCGGUUUUCGAAUAUUCGUUCCCAUCCCUAGUAAAUUGCCAUAGAAGAUGAUAAGAAAGACUUUAAAAUGUUUUAGUUUUGCUUUAAAUGAAUUGUGCUAAAUUAGAUAGGGUAAAUUAUUGUGUGUGUGUGUUUUUUUUUUUUUAGUUUUUGAUGGUCUACAAGGUUAUUAGUGGUUUUUGUUUUUAAAAAUUUUCAACAGCAUACGAAAAGCUGAAGUUUUCUCAAGUCUUAUGUGAAUUUUACCCAGAUCUUCCAAAAUGUACAAUAUGCAAUCAAAAAAGUAUAAAUUUUGUAUAUCCAUAGUUACAUGUAGCUAUAUAUUAAUUAAUAUAUUUAUUGGAUGUCAUUUGUACUUAUUCAUUCUAAUAUACUGAAUGUUCCUGGUAAAAUUUAAUGUUUAAGAUAUCCUGUUUUUUUUCUUUUAUAUGAUAGUUGAUUUUCUGCGUUUAGGGCAUUUUCUUAUCUGGUGUUAAUUUUAGUUCACCAGAUCAUUACCUUUACUUCUAUGUAUUUGUUGCAUUCAUAAGUGGUGAUUUAUUAACCUUCAGCCUGCUGUCAGCAAGUGAUUCUGCCUUUGCGACCAGUGCAGACCAAGAUCAGCCUACACAACUUUGCAGGCUGACCUUGGUCUACACUGUUCGCUAUUCAGUCAGUAAAUUUUCAGUGGAAACCCCUUCAAAUAAUAAUUGAAUGAUGGACCUCUGACCAUUUUAGAAAAUUAGCAGGUUAAAGGUUAAUUAUUGACUCCUGUAUACUUUAUACCAUUCAAACACAAGUUCUUAGUAUACUAUAGCUUAGACCGAGAAGCUCUAAAAUGCUACUAUUGGUUACAUAUUCAUUAAACUUGUUUUACUAGCCUCUGUCGUCAUUCCAAAUUUAGUGAGUCAUGUCUUUAUAGCAUUUCUAAACAGCCAGUAUUUUUGUGUAUACAGCUGGCAUUUCUAAUGGUGCUCAGUAUAUAAGUCUAUACACAAUACAAUCUGGUAUGAUAAAUGACUGCUUUUCUACUUAUUAUGUGAUAAAUUACUUCGUUUGAUAUUCUGUAACAGCUACGAGUUAUUUUAUCAUUUGUAAAUCUUUGUUUGCUUCCAGGGAACAGAAUUACUGUACAAAAAACUUUGAUUAAAAAGCAAAAUUUAGCAGUCUGUGUACUCAUAGAUUUACUUAGAUUUAGUAAAGUUAGAUUCAUAUAUUAUUUAUUAGCUUUUUUGUGAUACAUAUUUUUGCCUUGACAAGAGUCAAUUGAAAGUCCUGCAUUGCUUUUACGUUUAUUGGUGUGCUGAAAUUUAAAAAAGAACAUUAUGUAUAUUGUCAAAUUGCCCUUUCUAUGGUAAUGCGAAAUUCAGCAGCACCAUGGGAAAACAAACAUAGUGCAUUUGCAGCCAGCAUGGAUCCUGACCAGUCUGGUCAAGAUCCAUGCUGUUUGCUAAAGGUUUCUCUAAUUGCAAUAGGCUUUGAAAGCAAACAUCAUGGAUCCUGACCUGACUGUGCGGAUGCUCAGGCUGGUCUGAAUCCGCAAAUGCACUAUAUUGGGUUUGUCAUGUCGCAGCUCAGUUAGUAUCUUUUGCAAGACACUGUAAUACUUGGUUAGAAAAGAGAAUAUAUUUGUUAAGAAUAGACACUUACAUUUUAUUAGUUGAAAAAUAAAAUUUAUAUAUGA